rnacentral:rRNA from 1 species
CCUACGGGAGGCAGCAGUGAGGAAUAUUGGUCAAUGGACGAGAGUCUGAACCAGCCAAGUAGCGUGAAGGAUGACUGCCCUAUGGGUUGUAAACUUCUUUUGUCAAGGGACAAAAUCAGGCUCGAGAGCCUGACCGAGGGUACUUGAAGAAAAAGCAUCGGCUAACUCCGUGCCAGCAGCCGCGGUAAUACGGAGGAUGCGAGCGUUAUCCGGAUUUAUUGGGUUUAAAGGGUGCGUAGGCGGAGUGUUAAGUCAGCGGUAAAAGCCCGGGGCUAAACCCCGGAGAGCCGUUGAAACUGGCUGUCUUGAGAUGUCGAGAGGUAUGCGGAAUGCGCGGUGUAGCGGUGAAAUGCUUAGAUAUUGCGCAGAACUCCGAUUGCGAAGGCAGCAUACCGGCGGCGAUCUGACGCUGAGGCACGAAAGCGUGGGUAUCGAACAGGAUUAGAUACCCGGGUAGUC